rnacentral:sRNA from 1 species
GAUGGUGCUGGGGUUCACGGAGGAGAAAUGGAGCCAGUAUUUGGAAAGCGAGGACAACCGGCAGGUUCUUGGGGAGUUUCUGGAAAGCACCAGCCCGGCUUGCCUUGUGUUUAGCUUCGCCGCCUCGGGGCGCCUUGCGGCUUCCCAGGAGGUAAGAGGCGACGGGCAAGGGGACCUGCCCAUCCAACAAAACUACCCAGGAGAGACAGCCCAGUCGCGCCCCUUUGGAUUCCCGCGGGGCGCUCACUCGGGCACUUUAACAAACUUGGCUUGAAGUCCCCAUCCUGAGGCCCGCAGGACUCCUCCCCACGUGCACCCACUCUGCAGUUCAGCAGCUGCAGAUUCCAAGAGAUGCAAACCAUAAACUUGUUUUUAUUUCCAAGAAGAUUACUGAAAGCAUUGGAGUAAAUGACUUUUCUCAAGUGGUUUUAUUUGGAGAGUUACCUGCGUUGUCUCUUGGACAUGUAUCUGCUUUCCUUGAUGAG